rnacentral:rRNA from 1 species
GAUGAACGCUGGCGGCGUGCCUAAUACAUGCAAGUCGAGCGAACAGACGAGGAGCUUGCUCCUCUGACGUUAGCGGCGGACGGGUGAGUAACACGUGGAUAACCUACUUCUAAGACUGGGAUAACUACGGGAAACCGGAGAUAAUACCGGAUAAUAUAUUGAACCGCAUGGUUCAAUAGUGAAUGACGGCUUUGCUGUCACUUAUAGAUGCUUCCGCGCCGCAUUAUCUAGUUGGUAAGGUAACGGCUUACCAAGGCUACGAUGCGUAGCCGACCUGAGAGGGUGAUCGGCCACACUGGAACUGAGACACGGUCCAGACUCCUACGGGAGGCAGCAGUAGGGAAUCUUCCGCAAUGGGCGAAAGCCUGACGGAGCAACGCCGCGUGAGUGAUGAAGGUCUUCGGAUCGUAAAACUCUGUUAUUAGGGAAGAACAAAUGUGGAAGUAACUAUGCACGUCUUGACGGUACCUAAUCAAAAAGCCACGGCUAACUACGUG